rfam:Triticum urartu cultivar G1812 contig424180, whole genome shotgun sequence.
UAUAUACUCCCUCCGUCUAAAAUACUUGGCGCAGAAAUGGAUGUAUUUAGGUGUGUUUUAAUUCUACAUACAUCCAUUUUUAUUCAUAUCUCUGACAAGUAUUUUUGGAAAGAGAGAGUACAUU